UUUCAGAGAUGUAUGAAUUAAAUUAAUCCGUCUAUAUCUACUACUAACGGACGAAUGUUUAAUUUUUUUAAACCCUGGGUUGAUAUAAAUACACUGCUACCGGGCGAGUGUAUAAUUUCUUUUUAACCCUGGGUGGGUAUAACUCCAGGAGUGAACGGUGUCUUAUUUUUUAACGUACAUUUUGUUUUCGUCUGCAUAGAUUUGUAAUGUCUAUACGCAAAAAAUAUGUGUAAAAGUUCUGAUGAAAGACGAAACAAAAACAUUGCUUUCAGUUUCUCACUGUAAUGUUGAAUAUUUGUCAGAAAUAAAUGAAAUCUUGAAUCCACAUCAGACUGAAGUACACUGAACAUAUCUAACGAUUAAUGUAAUAAUUAAAGUGACCAGGUGUUAAAGCAUACGCCCCCCCCCCCACCCCUCCUCCCUCUAUAGUACCCUCUCCCUGGAAAAUCGGAUAAUGCAGGUUAGACAAAAUGUGCCCCGGUAUUAAAUUUUCCUCCUGCACGAAAUUAUCAGUUUAGUUUUUUUUAAAAACCCAUUUUGUUUAAAACACACAAUACGCAUUAUCCUGGAUAAUUCAGGGUGGCCUCCUCGGUUUGAAACAUGGAAAUACUUAGUUUGAUAUUGACAUAUUCUAUCUAUUUUUAUUUCCAAGGGCAGCAAUUUGUUUAGAUUGUGCAGUGAAAGGCAGUUGACCGCUGGAUCCGUGUGUAAAACGUGUGUAUUGCUUGUGACAAAAGCGUGACUCACUAGCAAUAUUUCGCAAUGGCGAUUAUCUUAAGAGAUAAGUUCAUGGUCCUUCACUGAAAGUGUAGUAUGCAAUACACAUACCUAGAUCUAGACGGAGAAGUUUUUCUUGUUUUAUUUCUAAGGAGCCGCAGUAAAACCACUAUUAGCGUUCAAUUUCAUGCGUACAUGCAUUCAACAUUUUAAGUUUUCAGUGUAGUUUUGGUUUUACUUGAUACUUAAAUUGUGUAAAUAUCUGCUGACUAUAUAUUCUUUAUAGUCAAGCUUAACAUGUUUACAAGUGGAAAACUACUUUUUUUUAUUGUACGAGUCUAUUGUACAUUGUAACAAAAGUUUUGUUAAAUUUAUUAUAUAGUGUAAGAAAGUUUUAGUAUAAAUCAUUAUGAGGAAAUAUGGUGGCUAGGAAGGGAGACGAGGAACCACAUUUAUUAAACACUGGUAUGACUUUUUGUUUAAUUUCUCUAAUUCUAUGACAAUCAUUUUAGAAUACGGUUUUCUCAAUAAGAAGUUAAUAGUAUCAUUUUGGUUAUACCCAACCAUAUAGGUGAGACAACGGAACUCAAUCCCGUAGGGAUCUGGGUUAAAAUAUAUGUAGGUCCUAUCGUAAGAGGCGACUAAAUGGGGACGGUCCUUCGGAUGAGACCGCAAAAACCGAGGUUCCGUGUCACAGCAGGUGAGGUACGAUGAAGAUCCCUCCCUGCUAAAAGCCCGUAACCGCCAAGCAUAGGUGAUGUCUCCAUAUGAGUGAAUUUUUUAAAAGAUGGAUGUUAAACAAUAUUCAAUCAAUCAAUAUCACUAGUCUCUGGUGUCAGUCUACUGAUAAAUGACUUGAUAUAACAGAGUGUUGAAAUGAUUCGUUUAAAUGAUGAAACGAGAAUACAGGAAUACAAGCAAUGUUUUAAAAAAUAUUUAUGUAUAUAUGUAUCUAUUGUCACAUAGUGUAUGGUCAUUUUUGGAGGGAUGAUAUCAUUAUAUCAGGAAAUUGAUAUGUUAUAUUUAUUCCUCAAAUCAAACAUAUUUUCAAUAUUGAAUAACAAUUAUCUUAAUGUAAUAAAUACUGCCUCUUUUCAUUUUGUUGCCUUUUCGCCUCAAAAUAAUGACGACAAAAGUGUGAAAUGACAGAAAUCAGCUGCCGUACUAAAGGUUUCAGGCUUGUUGGGAAUUGCUAAGGGUUGUUAGCUAAAUUCCGUGCUUAAUUUUUUUAAUUGAUUUUUUAGUAACUAAAAGAUGUUUUAAUAGAAUAUUCAUGAAUCUCGAUUCUGAUCUUUAUCAUGAGGAAUGGUCAUGUUAAGUGUUGAAAAGUCGUUUCUUUUGGCGCUGUUUUUUUUUUAUCAUUCAUUUUAGGCACUUGACCCCACCCACCCUGGUGUAUCCAGGAGUCCGUGUUUGCAGGUCUCUCAAUUUUGUAUUCUAUUUAGGAAUCAUGAGAUUGGUUAAUACUCGUUUUCUUCACUCUUUAAAGAAUCAUCUGUAAACAAGGUACCGAAAUUGAUUGCUAUAUUAAAACUUUGAUAAUUGAGCCUGUUGAAAACAUGUAUCAUUUUACAAACAAAUACGCACGCUAGAUAUAUUUUGUAUGCAUGUAUAAAGAACACAUUUCAAUAGAUGUGCUUUGAGGAUAAGGACGUACCUACAUGUAUUAUACUACUUGUGCCUAACUACUUAUGUGCCUAUUCACACACAUAUCCCAUUCUUGUCAAGAGCUGCUUUUAUCUACAUGGGAGAAUAUUAAAUCGGAAAACAUGAAAGUGUCCGUGAUUGUAGCCUGUAUUUGUGGUGUACUUGUCAAUAACGUGUACAGUCAGUACAUAACAUGGGACAGUAACGAUGAGAAAUAUUUUCUGCCUGUCCGUAUCAACUUGUCAUCGCUCAAAAGGAAUUACAUCGCAUGGAGAAGAAGAUUGAGGAACUGAAUGAACGUCUUCGUGAUCUAGUGGAGAUGGGGAAAGCUGAAGGACCCCGGGGACCACCUGGUUUACCGGGAGUGCCUGGGCGCGAUGGACGACCCGGAGAGCAUGGACUUCCGGGACGGGAGGGAGACCGGGGAGACUAUGGAAUACCUGGGCGGAAGGGACAAGCAGGAAUCCUGGGAUUAGCUGGAUGACCGCGUGGUUUACCCGGACUUCCAAGGGAAGACGGAAAACCUGGAAGAAGAGGACGACCUGGGAACAAGGGCCGAAAGGAGAGCCCGGACGACCUGGACUUCCGGGAUUAAUGGGAGCGAAAGGAGAUCGAGGAUUUCCGGGAUUACCCGGGAGAUAGAGGAAA